GGUCAAUGAUGUUAUGGUAUGUACUAGCUGGAAGCUAGCUUGAUAUGAUAUCUAAAAUUACACUGAGACCUU